rnacentral:lncRNA from 1 species
UCCCUCCGGAAUUAGCAGUGUGGCUUUGGCUCUCCAAGGGGCCCAGUGGAAUGUUCCUACCGGUCUCAGGGUGUGUCCACACAAUGGGAGGGUCUACAACAGACCGUCCUUAGAGGAUGCCAGGCUACUUAAUUCCUCUUCCGUGGAGCACAGUGGACCACCGGGUAGUGAUGCUUGGGAGCGAAAGAAAACCCCUUGCGCUUUUUUAUCACCUGAACAUGCUGAAGAUCCACGUUUAGAAGUCGGCCCGGCCAGCACCGCCUGCACACAGCGUGGGCCUCCGCGCCGCCCAAGCUCCGAUUACAGCUGCUCUUGAGAGGAAAGAGUGGGUCCUGAAACCUCACUUAGCAAUCAGUGCCUGGCUCGAAGGCUUCUACGCCAGGGAGAGGAAAGGAGGCGUUCCCACUGGUCACAGCGUUUUUGCUGUGUCACAAGGAGACGCAGGGAGGGCUGCUGUUUCGGCGGCUAAAUGCUAUCAUUGUAAGCACUGCUCCACAGAACACAGGGAUCUUGCCAGAGGAGAGUAAUACCAGACACCAAAAAGGGGAAAAAAACCCCAACAUCAAGGCCUGCUGCUGGCCCUGCUACCAUCACUCAGGCCGACCCCCUUCUACUGUGAAUAUUUUGGGAGCACCCCGUGUUCUAGGCUCUGUGCUGGUGCUGAGACACAGCGGAGAGGAAGCACAGGCCAGGCCUGCCCUUCCUGAGCUUCCUGAGGGAGGGCAGACAAGACUGGGACAGCCGCACUGCUGUGCAGUGAGAAUUGGGUCUUUGUCCCUGUCCCUGGCAGGGAGCUUCUAAAGCCUUGGGGUUUCCUGAGUGACGGGGUGUCUUUGUGAUGCUGAUGAGGUGACUCACUGUGGCCCCCCCACCCCCAUUUUAGGAUGGGGGCUGGUCCUCAGAAAGAUCAACCACCAGCCUGGAGAGCUGAGGACUCCGAGCCAGCCUGACCCUGGUGGGGAGGGCAGUCACAUGGCUGGUGAUGCAAUCAACCACGCCUGGUAAUGAACCCAGCAGAACUCAGGACAGGCAGGCUCGGGGGCUCUUUCUGGCUGGUGGACACACUGAUGUGCUGGGAGGGUGACGCCCUGACUCUCUGGGGACGGGGGAUGGAAGGGGUGCCCUGCCUCCCAGACCUCGCCUUCAGCGCAUCCUUCAGAGUAAAUAUGUUAUCACAAGGGCUGCCUUCCUGAGUUCUGAGAGUCUUUCUCCUGAAAGUUUGGAUUCGAGGGGGGUCAUGUGAAAUCUGUAACGCGUAACCAGUUGGCCAGGAGUACAGGUGCCUGAGGACCCCUUAAGACCUGUGGCCGGCAUCACAAGGGGGCAGUCUUUUGGAGAAAUCUGCCCUUAACCUGUGAGGUCUAAGCUAACACUGCGCGGGCAGUGUCAGAACAUAAUUGCUUCAUUCUGACCCUGGGCAGGUGUGGGACCAGUGAGUUGAGUCCACACUCACCUGUGUGAUGGCAGCAGUGACCAUGACAGGGUUUAAGAGAGGAACAGGGGAGUCAAAGCUGAGACUAGAAGGGCCUGACCCUGUUGGAGAGGUCAGGGGCAGCUUCUCUGAGGAUCUGAAGGC